rnacentral:rRNA from 1 species
GAUGAACGCUAGCGACAGGCCUAACACAUGCAAGUCGAGGGGCAGCACGGUGUAGCAAUACACGGGUGGCGACCGGCGCACGGGUGAGUAACGCGUAUGCAACCUGCCUACUACAAGGGGAUAACCCGUUGAAAGACGGACUAAUACCCUAUAACACAGGGAAUCCGCAUGGAUAUAUUUGUUAAAGAUUUAUCGGUAGUAGAUGGGCAUGCGUUCCAUUAGCUUGUUGGUGAGGUAACGGCUCACCAAGGCAACGAUGGAUAGGGGAACUGAGAGGUUGAUCCCCCACACUGGAACUGAGACACGGUCCAGACUCCUACGGGAGGCAGCAGUGGGGAAUAUUGGACAAUGGGCGAAAGCCUGAUCCAGCAACGCCGCGUGAGGGAUGACGGCCUUCGGUUGUAACCUCUUCAGUAGGACGAAGCGAAGUAGACGGUACCUACAGAAGAAGGACCGGCCAACUACGUG